GUUUAAGAAUGAUGAUGUGGGAAAAAGAGCUGGAAGUGUGUGCACUUUUCUGGAGAAGACAGAGACAAAAAGCCAUCCCCACACUGAAUGUCAUAGUUAUGUCUUUGCAAUAGAUGAAGUACUUGAAAAAGUGAGGAAGACACAGAAAAGGAUCACUAAAAAAAACCCAAAGAAGGCUGAAAAACUGGAAAGAAAAAAAGUGUAUAGAGCUGAAUAUAUUAAUUUCCUGGAGAAUCUGAAGAUUCUGGAAAUUUCUGAGGACUGCACGUAUGCUGAUGUCAAAGCCCUACACACUGAAAUUACCAGGAAUAAAGACUCAACUUUGGAGAGGGUAUUACCGCGAGUGCGAUUUACAAGACACGGCAAAGAACUGAAGGCUUUAGCACAAAGGGGGAUUGGAUAUCAUCACAGCAGCAUGUAUUUUAAAGAAAAAGAGUUUGUUGAGAUACUCUUUGUAAAAGGGCUUAUUAGGGUAGUGACAGCUACUGAAACACUUGCCUUAGGGAUCCACAUGCCAUGCAAAUCUGUUGUUUUUGCCCAAGACUCAGUCUAUCUGGAUGCUUUAAAUUACAGACAGAUCAUGUGAACUCUCCUAGACUGGAAUAUGAAGACUGUGAUUUUACAGAGAAAAGGAGUUUAUCUCCAUUUCAUGACCUUUUAGGAUGUUGCUGUUUCAACUUUAAAAGCCAUAUUUUCCUUUUCUCAAGUAUAGCUAUAGACCAUAUCACCUUUUACCAUGUUCUGUUAUGAAAAACAGGAAGUCCCUGAGCUGGAAUUUUUCAGUCUUUCUCUUUUUCAUGUAGAGAGCAAAGU
rnacentral:lncRNA from 1 species